CUCCCACUCACUGGUUGUCUCAUCAGUAUUUAUCACCCGAGAAGACCAUUCCCCAGGGCAGUCUCUGUGCAGUGUUCCAUUAUCAGAUUCCAGCAGUUAGGUUGCUGAACUUCUUCUGGAAGUGAAUAUAAAGGAGGAAAACGAGAGUUAGAUCCAGUUCCACCUUCAGAUGCAGCUGGACUUAGUGCAGCACAUUGUUUGACAGAUGAUGAAUGACCUGGGGACCAGAAGUGUUGCUUACGGGAGUGCUCAAGAUCCUGUCUUGACCCUGCCUUUGGUUGACCUUGAAGAAGGCUUGGAUCCAUGGAUAGCAACCACUAAGAUGUUUGGUUGGAGCUCCUCUGAGAAGGAUAGUCAUCUCUCCUUGCUCCAUAAAAGACCAAACCCUGCUCUAAACCAUCCCCAUUUUCUCUACUGACGAGGGUCCCAAUUCAGCUCUCUUGGCAUCCCUCUUUCACUUGACAAUAAAUCCAACAACCCCCUGCACCUCAA